GUUCUUUAAUCAGCAGUCCCCUCUCAGAGGCUUCAGAACAAAGGGGAGAGAAAAAAAAAAAAAACAAAAAACAUACCAAGACCAGGAAAUCUGUCUGUAUUUGUAUUGGAGAGCUAUGUACAUCAGUGGAGUUACAGAAAAAGAAUCAAUGACAUCUAGGAUACCAUUGAUGCUCCAUGGUCAUGUUUCAGGUGGAAUCUUAAUAUGUAUAUCAAGCUGGGAUUCAGAAGAUGCUUCCUUCUUAAUGAUGUGGAUCAGAGAGCUACAGAUCCUUGAAAAACAAUCCUGAAUGCAGCCCCCACAAGCCAGAUCUCACCCCUCCUUGGAGUCCUGGGCUUGGCCAGGGUUCUGAGGCUAGGCAGCAUUUUUUGCUUUCUCCAAAGCCUGGUCAUUGUGGACAUGGCAGUGGUAUGGCCCCUUGCUCAGAUGGGCCUUUUUUGCCCUUAUGCUUCAGCUGGGUGAAUUCAAGGCUUAAGCCUCUUUUCCCAGUCAGGCUUUUAGAGAGGUAUUCAAAAAUCAGUGGUACUACCCAUUAUUCCAGUAGGGGAGAGCCAUUCAACGUUGAUGGCUUUCAUUGUUAGAAAUCUCUGAGGCAUUCCACACCCAAGCAGAGAGAGGACAAUGUCUAGACUAGACUGUCCUCGUCAAGACAAGGCUGGUUUUCCCCACACAAAUUGGAUGUCUUAAUCCAACAUGGCGGUUACAACACGAAAGUAACAAUGAAGGUUAUAAAUCAAAAGUGUCAUUCACAAGACAAAGGAGUUUACCAUUUGGCAGAUAUAUCCCUAAUCUGUCACAUUUUAUACUAUUUUUGUGGAUCAUGAUAGACAGAGGACUAAAUUUAGAAGUCCAGUAAGAACUACACACUGGAAGAGAUGGAUUUAGAUACACUUUGAAAGGGAAAGUAGCAACGACAAAUACAAUAGGGUUAUAACAUAGUUCUGACAAAAAAAAGGUGAUGGAGAGACUGAAAAGGAAACAAACAAAAUACAUAAAAGCAUUUUCUACAAUAUAAAGAAAAAAAGAGGCAAAUGAAGACGGGAAGGUACUUUAAAAAAAAGUGUUGAUACAUAAUGUUAUAACUACAGUAUCCAAACAGACUAUACGCAGGAAUUGCUAUAUUGCAUCAGACCAGAAUCCAGAAUCUCUGAAACAUCUGGUGUCCUGGCCUCUGUCUGAGGAAGGUGCAAGACCAUCACAUAAGGCAGUCUCA